CCUACGGGUGGCAGCAGUGGGGAAUAUUGCGCAAUGGGCGAAAGCCUGACGCAGCGACGCCGCGUGAGGGAUGAAGGUCUUCGGAUCGUAAACCUCUGUCAGCAGGGACGAACGGUCACUGUGCUAAUCAGCAGUGAAUUGACGGUACCUGCAAAGGAAGCCCCGGCUAACUCCGUGCCAGCCGCCGCGGUAAUACGGAGGGUGCGAGCGUUAAUCGGAAUUACGGGGCGUAAAGAGCUCGUAGACGGUAUGUCAAGUCAAGGGUGAAAGCCCCGCGCUCAACGUGGGAACUGCCUUUGAAACUGGCGAACUAGAGUGUGGGAGAGGAUAGUGGAAUUCCAGGUGUAGGGGUGAAAUGCGUAGAUAUCAGGAGGAACAUCAGUGGCGAAGGCGACUAACUGGCAUAUAACUGACGCUGAGGAUCGAAAGCGUGGGGAGCAAACAGGAUUAGAUACCCGGGUAGUC
rnacentral:rRNA from 1 species